UACAUCCAUCAUUCUAGUCAUGGCUAGCUGCAUAUUUGAAUCACGAAUAAAAAGCUGAAUAACGAAUAACGAUUAACGAGGUGGCGUAUCCUUCGUUAUUCGCGAAUAACGAGGUGAUCCACCUCGUUAUUCGUUAUUCACCAAUAACGAAUAACGAAAAACGAUCCAACUUCACACUGCCAGCCUUUAUUCACAAAUGUAUCAGUAAUAGCAUAUGGUUUUUUGUGUGAUUACUUAUUAUCCAAUGUAUGUAGUAGAUAUAAAGCUUUCGCAUCUUUGCUCAUUUGUUAAUUGUGUAUGCUUGAUAACGCAUAUUGAAAUCUUGUCGAAACGUCGUGUGUGUUUAAUAUGGUGAGUAUUUUAUUUAUAGGAAUGUGUUAUUGUUUAAAGGGAUAUUCCCAGAUCGAUUUUGGAGAAUAAAACUGCUUAAUUUUGUGUGAAAACCCCUUAAAGACAUCUAACUUAGCCUCGCGCAACUACGAGUACCACAAGCCAUGUGAUAUGUUUUCAAACAACUUCCAAUCGUCGGUAUUGCUCUAUGUAUUACGACUGGCAUCCAGGUUACACGAUACAACGUCUCUGGAUAACACUAUACAAUGUUCUGCGCGCGCAUUGACAUUUCCGGGUUCCUUUCUGGGUUUUUUUUGUUCUAGUCCCGUGACAAAUGAUUCUUAGGUUUGAUCGUUUUUGUUGUUACCGUAUUCUGCGCUAAAUAUUUAUAUUAUAGACAUAGCCACAACUAAACGCCAUUUGAAUCUAGCGCGGAAUUAUAAAAUAUCCUAUUUCAUGUAUCUCGAGACUCGAAAUGUUUCACUUUUCAUUUCGGAGUCAAUCAGCCAUGUCAUGACAAAUGUAAAUUAUAGUUUGUUACUAUAACCAUGAUCACGGCUUCCUCGGUGCUCUUUUGGUCAAUCUUUUGGAUGGGUUGUUGUUUUUAUAUUUUUGUGUGAUCAAAUAGAUACUUUUGAUCUGCAAAUAAUAUAUUGUAUACUAUACUAAAAUACAGAAUGGAUUCUUUGUAAUUGGGAAGAGGUAAUUAGUGAUAGCAUGGGGUUGUCCCGUAUAAAAGGAAUGGCAGAUAAUUUUUGUCAGAUUUUGUCAGUUGAAAAACUGUCAUUCAAAAUGGUUGAGAAGUGUGUAAAGUGUAGUAAGGCUGUGAAGAAAAACCAACAGGCAAUUUCGUGAAACAAGUGAGAUCAGUGGACACACAGGAUUUGUGGUACAAAAUUGUUUAGAAAUGUAGAGGCAGCAAAAGUGGGAAAGCUAUCGAUUUUUUUGUGCAUUAUAUUCCGAGUGCAUUGUAGGUGACACAUCAAGUAAUCCAUCCACCAGUAUUCCUACACCACUAUCAAGUUCUGAUGAUAUUGAAAGUUUUCCGGAUUUGCCAACACCAUAAGACCCAUCCACAAAACCUUCCCCUCUACCAAAGCGUAGGAAAACUGUGCACAGAUGUGUUGUGAGGCGUCCAAGAGAUGUCACAAGAGACCACAGAAGAAAGCGUGGCAAGGUUGAGAUUUUAGAGAAUUGAUGGAUUGAAGAUGUUAAUAUCACGACUGGAUGAUGAAAAAAAAUGUAAUUGCUGGUUGGCAUAACAGAAAGACAUCCAGGCUUGAUAUAUGCGACAGAUUGACAAUUCCAGCUAGAGACACACCAGUCACAUCCCUACCACGGACAAAAAAUCCUGACUGGUGUUUGUGUAAUAAUUGUCAAGAAAUGCCAACAGACAGAGAGAACCUAUGUUGUAGGUUUUCGGCUCAAAAUUGCUUAUCUCCAAGACCGGAAAUUGAUCAGUAUUGUUUAGAUGACGGGGUGCUGCAGAUCGCAUUACAAACAAGAAAUUACAUUUUUAGGCUGCCAGAUGGCGAUGAACAGGAAAGGUUUCGCCAUCAGUUUAUUUACUGGAGGCACGGUUGACUUGGAAGAGAUAACAGACAAGUAAUACCAAGCUGGAUAGACUGCAAAGUAAGGAGGACGUAUUACCAUGGAUGAAGGAGCACUGUUCAAAAGACCUACCAAAAUUAUCAAGCAAAACAUUUCUGCGUUUAAUCCUCAACAGAUCUUGAACAGCAGAUCAGAUUUAAAUCCAAUGAAAAUCGGAUAUAUAAGACGCCGUCAAGUGUUGAUUAUGGUCUUGGCAUGCUAAUAUAUGUCUAAUUAAUAGUUUAUAUAACAUUUAAGGCCUGAAGAAAGACCUGCAAAUAGGAAGAUUUACCUCUUACAUAAUGCAUGUUUAUUAAACAUUGAUGCUAUUACACACA